GGCGCGGCUGCGGUUGGCGAUCUCCUCGUACUGCGCCUUCACCUCCGAGAUGAUGCUGUCCAGGUCCAGGCCUCGGCCUCGGCGCGGCUGCGGUUGGCGAUGUCCUCGUACUGCGCCUUCACCUCGGCGAUGAUGCUGUUCAGGCCUCGGCCUCGGCGCGGCUGCGGUUGGCGAUGUCCUCGUACUGCGCCUUCACCUCGGCGAUGAUGCUG